rnacentral:lncRNA from 1 species
UAUCAAGUUAACGUUACAAAUCAAAUCCUGAUUGAAAUUAUGUAAUUUAUUCAUCAAUUGUUAAUGAAUUAGUUCAAUAUUAUAUAAUUUGUUCAAUGAAUGCCUUGAAUUAGUUCAUUUUGUUGAAUUGUGAUUUUCGCUUGAAACAUGCCAAGAAGAAUUAGAAAAUUCCUCAAUAGUGCAUACAGCUUUUUUGAAAGUUUGACUUGAAAAAUCUGAUGAUAACGAACCUGCAAUAAUUCGAGCUAUAUACCAACAGUGAUCUCUUAUUACAGAAAAGGCAGCUCUUUCAGUUGCUUAAACGGAAAAAAAAAAAAUUGUCAAUCAUGACAAAUAUGACAAAUCCGGUUCAUUCGUUAAAAGUAUUCGUUGGCAAAGUGUUUAAGAGUAAACUGAUAAUAAAUUUCAGUAAAUAUAAUGUAGAUUACAAUAACAAGAGCGCAUAAGACAUGUUUGCAAGAAGCGGUGUUUAAAAGACGACGGAGAAGUUUUAUAGCAAUAGAUAUAAGAUGAAUAGAUAGCAAGAGAUACCAGCAACUAAAAUAAUGAAGGAAAUAACGCAUAGCAGCCACAAAAAUAAUGUGGUGAAAAGAUAACGGUUAAAAGAACGUAGACACAUAAAGCUUGUUAAAGAUAACAAGAUAUGCGUUUAUAAUCUGAAGAUUAUUUAAGUUCCGAGAAUAGAAAUAUCACAACUCUAGUUCACAUGUAAAAAAAUGUUUGUCGUCUAAAGAGACGAAUCUUUUCUUCUUCGGUCAUAAGAUCUGGGUAGGGGGAUAAGGAGUGAAACGUAGAGAAUCGAGGCCAGAAAGAGAUGACAAUGUGAACAAUAACUAUCAAGUUUAGGAAAUUAUUGCUUUGAUAUCUGAAAGCCUGGCGUUAAUCAUGAACAAAACUUGAUGGAGGUAUAUUAUAAUAUAUUAUACUAAUUACACCAGACGAACCCCACAUCACCAAACUUCUUCCACUAAACAGCACAGACAAACACACGCAUACAAACCAAUGCAUGUACAUAACAUUUAUAGAUGCUGAAACGGGGUUAUCAGAUAUAAAACUCUGUAUUGAAGGAAAGAUACUCAAUUACUGAGGCCUUUUACUGCUGGGAUGCAAAUCGGGAUAUGAUCAACCGUAGCUGGGUCAAAUGGACGAGAGUUUCAUAUUGAACAACGUGACAUUAUAUAAUGGCCUCAGGAACAUCAGUGUGAAUGUAUCGCAGAAUAUCCGAGUUAUAGUCAAUCAGUGCCAAUCGGAAACUAAACUAGAAGACAAGAAAGAAUAGUUUACCGAAUACUGGAAGAUAAUUUAAAAUCACGGAAAGACGGCAGAAAAUGUGAGUAAACCCAGCAUCCUGCUGUGUGAAAUUUGUUCUUCUUCUAAGAUGUUGACUAGGGGAUGUCAAGAGAAAGAAUAGAAUGAGAUGCCCAAAUGGAAGAUAUUAAGGAAUAAUGCCCAAGGAAAUAAUGGUCUCAAAUUAUAUUGGGAGUGAGAUGUCGAAAUCAUCGAUUCCUGUUCAAAGUCAAAGUUGUCCUCGGAGGUAUUAGAGCUCAAAACGUAAAGAUUCGGAAGAAAGUUCGCUGGGCAUUUUAUCCAAAGCACUAAUAGUUCUACUACAUCGCCGCCUUUACUAGGCUCAUGAAAAUAACUCUGUCUAAUUUUGGCACAAAAGCCAGCAAUUUUAAGGGGAUGGAGCUAAUCGAUUACGUAGAUCGGAGCACCUUUCCUUUCUACUAUAUGCAAGAUGGGGUACGCCGAUUAUUUUGAACCCAGUGCUAGAUUGAUACUUAUUUUAUCGAUUCCAAAAGGAUGGAAGUCAAACUCGACCUUGUUAGCAUUUGGACUCGGGGUGUAAUGACGGACGAAAUGCCGCUACGUUUUUUAUCCGGUGUACUAACGAUUCUCCCAGCUCGCCGUCUAUAGCCCAAUGAAAAUAAUGAAGCGACAAUGAAGGCAAAAUGUGUUUUCAGCAAAAUAAUGUAAGACGUUAGUGAGCUAACCGUCCAUCAGACACAUAAUUAUUAUAACAGAAAACUCAGAGAGAAGGUGAAAGAAAUAUUGGAAGACAAGAUAUGUUCAUCUUAUUAGAAAAUGACCUUUUGUGUGAGGAAGGAAACGAACUUUUUGCAUUCAAGUGGACAAGGUUUUUAGCUGGAAGGCCAGAUGGUGUUUUUGAUUUUCUCCAGUAAAAAUUAUAAUUACAGUUCAAGCCAUCAAAACCGCCGUUUCUACUUCUUCAUAUACGCUACAACUGCUUUAUCAACCUUCCUAUUAUUGUUUAAUGUUUCAAGCUUUCA